rnacentral:tRNA from 1 species
GGGCCGUUGGAGCAAAUGGGCAGCUCACCCGGUUCUCGCCCGGGAGGCUACGGGUUCGAGUCCCGUACGGCCUAC